rnacentral:tRNA from 1 species
GGUUCCGUAGCUUGGAGCAAAGAAGCGCCCGUCUAGCGAAAUGGGAGCCGUGGGUUCGAUUCCCACCGGAGCAG